GUCCUGAGUUUGAUUCUUAUAUCUCCGUUAUUUAUAUUAUCUUUCAGUUAGUCUACGUGGCACGAUUUAUCUGAUAUUUAUCAUAUACAACAGAAUUAGAUUAUAGGGACACAUAUUUGAGACAUUUUUGUGUAAGUGUCCCAUUUAUGCCAAAACUUUUAAAAAUAUCUAGUAAUGCCUAAAUAUAAAGCUCAAUCCAACUAAAAAUGAAAGAUUACUCUACUCAUUCAGCCCUAUUACAAACAAAAAAGAAAAAAAAAAGAAAAAUCGAUUACCAUCUUCCCAUUUUUCCUCACUCAAUCUACUGAAAUGAUGACGAAAAGCCCUUUCCUCUCCUCCUCCUUUGCCACCGCAGCAAACGAGGUAGAGUUUCAGCAGUUGCUAAAUGCUUAAAUAAGUGUUGGUAAAUUAGCGGCACUCCUUUUAGGUUAUAUCGACACUCUUUAACUGUCACUAUAUACCUAGCGAUCCCACAUAUAACAAUAUUUUUUAAAAGUGUCGGUAAUUUAGCCAGUAGCACUUUUUCUGACCUAUACUGAUAUUUAAGUCAUUUAUGACUAGAUUAAUUUUUUGUAUAACGAC
rnacentral:lncRNA from 1 species